rnacentral:rRNA from 1 species
UAUGUGGUUUAAUUCGAUGCAACGCGAAGAACCUUACCUGGUCUUGACAUCCCGGAGACCCUUAGGAAACUAGGGGUGCUUCCAUCUGGAAGAAUCUGGAGACAGGUGCUGCAUGGCUGUCGUCAGCUCGUGUCGUGAGAUGUUGGGUUAAGUCCCGCAACGAGCGCAACCCUUGCCUUUAGUUGCCAGCAGUUCGGCUGGGCACUCUAAAGGGACUGCCGGUGUUAAACCGGAGGAAGUGGGGAUGACGUCAAGUCCUCAUGGCCUUUAUGACCAGGGCUACACACGUACUACAAUGGCCGAUACAAAGGGCAGCGACACUGCGAGGUGAAGCCAAUCCCGUAAAAUCGGUCUCAGUCCGGAUUGGAGUCUGCAACUCGACUCCAUGAAGUUGGAAUCGCUAGUAAUCGUGGAUCAGCAUGCCACGGUGAAUACGUUCCCGGGCCUU